CAAGCAGGAAGCAGUGUGAGUCUGUAUGGCUGGGAGGAACAAGGAUGAAAAGUGACAGAAGGCAGUAGGCAGAUGGACACCUUCAUGUUUGAUCUUAUUGCUUACUGAGCUGGCCAGUCCCAAGGCAGCUCUCAUCCAGGAUCCAGGGAGCUGCAAUGCAGAGACCUGCCAGAGGAUGACAAGAACAAUAUGACAGCAAGAGUGAUAUUUUGGCUCAGCAGCUUUGUGUGGCACAGCCUCUCUUUGUUUCCCAACUUCAGCCAGAGGUUCACAUGGCACGUGUUUGCAACCCAGUGUUGGGAAUACCAGAAGAGUUUCCAACCUGGAAGGUAAACAUAAG
rnacentral:lncRNA from 14 species